UAUAAUAGAUUUUAUCGUAUAUAAAUUAAUUAAAUUUUAGAAAUUGACUUUCAUAUUUUUUUUACUAUGUCAUUUUGUGUAAAUGAUAUAUGUUAUAGAACUUAAAUGUGGUUUUUGGAUAGACUUUUACUUAAUAUUAUCUAAAUAUAUUAAAGUGUUCAAAAAAAUAGAGAAGGAUUCCAUAGUGAGUAAGAAAACAAACAUGAUGUUUUGUUUGUAUUUAUAAUUGUCAUGGAACCAUAUAUUUAUAAAGUUCUUUUGUAAAAAUAUCUUCUUAUUAUUUUAUCAAUUUGUUUUAUAUUUUAUUCUGAUUUCGGGUUGAAAUCAUGUGCGUAGGUGCUGGGAACCACGAAUUAAAUACUUACCUAACCAAAUAUCAGCUAGAUUUGAUCCUCAGUUUGGGGAACUUGUUGGAAGGUUUGAUUCCAUUGUGUUUUGAACUGUUACUUAAGACCAAAUGUUUUAAAACUUGAAGGAAUUGCAGGCAUAGCAGGAAACCAUGGCCCAGGUUUAUCAAUGCAGACACCCUAACACUUAAGUCUCACCAGAGGCCAUUAAUUUUCUCGAGAAGCAUCUUAGGUAUGAUCAUCAUCAAGACAGACUAACCGCAGGAGAAGCCAUGGUAAGAGUUUCCUCGUAUAGCACACCCAUCUAUUGUUUCUAUUGAACCUAUUUCCAUCAAACUUCUAAUCUUAUAGUUCUCUUGUUGGUGAAUAGGCCCAUCAAUAAUUUGCUAAGUUAAAGCUGCAGAGAGCAGCAGACUACGGACUCUGUGAAAACCAAAGCUUGAAGGUUUAUACUAUUUUGUAGUAUCAAACAUUGUAAUGUUGUGUAAUAUUAUCUUAAACACACACAAGUUGUUGUAUCAAAACUGUUGUUGUCUAUACCCCUCUUUUGUAGACAUAAUUGAAAGCAGAAGGAAAUAUUGAAGAACAUGAAAAGAAGUUCCAAACAAAGCUUCAUAGUAUAACCAUAAUAAUAGUAGUAAGAGACUUAGCGUUGAAACAAGUCUUUAGUAAAAACAGAAACAGAAACAGAACCAUAAGUUUUGUUGACCCGAGACACUUGAAUGAUACAACAAACAUAGGAGACGGAUCCAUACAUUUACAUUGGAAUCCUUUUUUGGUGAGAAAUGAUAGUUUCAUCACUUGCUGAGGUGAGGGAAG